GACGAACGCUGGCGGCGUGCUUAACACAUGCAAGUCGAACGGAAAGGCCCUGCUUUUGUGGGGUGCUCGAUUGGCGAACGGGUGAGUAACACGUGAGUAACCUGCCCUUGACUUUGUGAUAACUUCAGGAAACUGGGGCUCAUACCGGAUAGGAUCUCCUGCUGCAUGGUGGUGAUUGGAAAGUUUCGGCGGUUGGGGAUGGAAUGGCUGCUUAUCAGCUUGUUGGUGGGGUAGUGGUAUACCAAGGCUUUGACGGGUAGCCGGCCUGAGAGCGGUAACGGCGACAAUGGGCCUGAGAUACGGACCAGAAUGCUAUGGGACGCAGUAGGGGGGAAUCUGGCAGAAUGGGCGCAAGCGAGAUGCAACAACGCUGCGAGCGUGAUGCUGGCCUACGGGUUGUAAACAGCUUUCGCCUGUAACGAAGAGUGAGUGACGGUAACGGGUAAAGAAGCAACGGCUAACUACGUG
rnacentral:rRNA from 1 species